rnacentral:rRNA from 1 species
GAUGAACGCUAGCGGCAGGCCUAAUACAUGCAAGUCGAACGGUGUCUUCGGACAUAGUGGCGCACGGGUGCGUAACACGUAUGCAACCUACCUUGCAUUGGGGGAUAGCCUUUCAAGAGGGAGAUUAAUACCGCAUAAGACAGUAGCUGGGCAUCCAGCAGCUGUUAAAGAUUUAUCGAUGUAAGCUGGGCAUGCGUCCAAUUAGCUAGUUGGUGAGGUAACGGCUCACCAAGGCUAUGAUUGGUAGGGGAACUGAGAGGUCAAUCCCCCACACGGGCACUGAGAUACGGGCCAGACUCCUACGGGAGGCAGCAGUAGGGAAUAUUGGGCAAUGGACGCAAGUCUGACCCAGCCAUGCCGCGUGCAGGAUGAAGGCGUUAUGCGUUGUAAACUGCUUUUAUACAGGAAGAAACGACUCUUGCGAGAGGCAUUGACGGUACUGUAUGAAUAAGCACCGGCUAACUCCGUGCCAGCAGCCGCAGUAAAAC